AAUCUUCCACAAUGGGUGCAAACCUGAUGGAGCAAUGCCGCGUGAAUGAAGAAGGUCUUCGGAUCGUAAAGUCCUGUUAUUAGAGAAGAACAAGUCAAGGAGUAACUGUCUUGACUUUGACGGUACCUAACCAGAAAGUCACGGCUAACUACGUGCCAGCAGCCGCGGUAAUACGUAGGUGACAAGCGUUGUCCGGAAUAAUUGGGCGCAAAGGGGGGGCGGGCGGUUGGAAUAGUUUGAGGUGAAAGCCAAGGGCUUAACCGUGGAAGGUCAUUGGAAACUGUCCAACUUGAAUGCAGAAGAGGUAAGUGGAAUUCCAUGUGUGGCGGUGAAAUGCGUAGAUAUAUGGAGGAACACCAGUGGCGAAGGCGACUUACUGGUCUGUGAUUGACGCUGAGGCUCGAAAGCGUGGGUAGCGAACA
rnacentral:rRNA from 1 species